ACAGCCAUACCACAUUGAAAACACCAGUUCUCGUCCGAUCACCGAAGUUAAGCAAUGUCGGGCCCGGUCAGUACUUGGGAGGGUGACCACCUGGAGGGUUGCUAAAUUGCAAAAAUGGCAAUUUUGCAAAUGAAAACUGUCCUUUGUA